GCCUGGUCAGAAGGUAGUGAGUUAACUCAGUUGAUUGUUCACAGUCAAUUAAGGUCAAACUGCUUGUUCUGCUCUUUCCCCCUUCUCACUACUGCACUUGAGCAGUCUUUG
rnacentral:Y_RNA from 1 species